rnacentral:rRNA from 1 species
GACGAACGCUGGCGGCGUGCCUAAUACAUGCAAGUCGAACGCAGUGGGGACGGGUGAGUAACACGUGGGUAACCUCGCAUCAGAGGGGAUAACACUUGGAUACAGGUGCUAAACCGAUACUGAUGGAUGGACUCGCGGUGCAUUAGCUAGACGGUGAGGUAACGGCGCACCAAGGCAACGAUGCAUAGCCGGCCGGAGAGGAUGAACAGACAACAUGGAACUGAGAAACGGCCCAGACUCCGACGGGAGGCAGCAGUGGUGAAUCGUCGGCAAUGGGCGAAAGUCUGACCGAGAAACGCCGCGUGAGUGAAGAAGGUUUUCGGAUCGUAAAACUCUGUUGUUAGAGAAGCGGUAUCUAACCAGAAAGCCACGGCUAACUACGUGCCAGCAGCCGCGGUAAUAC